rnacentral:rRNA from 1 species
CGGAGGGUGCGAGCGUUGUCCGGAAUCACUGGGCGUAAAGGGCGCGUAGGCGGCCUGGUAAGUAGGGGGUGAAAUCCUGCGGCUUAACCGCAGGGCUGCCUUCUAAACUGUCAGGCUCGAGCACGGUAGAGGCAGAUGGAAUUCCCGGUGUAGCGGUGGAAUGCGUAGAGAUCGGGAAGAACAUCAGUGGCGAAGGCGGUCUGCUGGGCCGUUGCUGACGCUGAGGCGCGACAGCGUGGGGAGCAAACAGGAUUAGAUACCCUGGUAGUCCACGCCGUAAACGAUGGGCACUAGGCGGUCGGGGGGAGCGACCCUCCCGGUGCCGUCGCUAACGCAGUAAGUGCCCCGCCUGGGGAGUACGGCCGCAAGGCUG